CAUCUUCUUUCAUCCUCUCAUCCUCCUCCUCACUGACUUCUCUCUCAAGGCUUUUAUUCUCCACAAUGCUCUUUGCUAAUAGAUCAGAGGUGGGAGUACAAGAAUUUGAUGCAAACCAAACCAACUGCACAAGAUCCUUGAGAUUCGAGACCUAAAUGAAUUUCUGCAUGGUCUGUUUGUGCAGGCGGAGAGCAGAGCAGCCUUGAAGCUGCACCUCCUCACUUUCAGGAAAUGUCUUCAUAGCCUCCACCACCAGCUCAAACACAUCCA